GAACAGCUGGCAAAAAGAGAAAGAGAGAGAGAGCAGAGAAAAGACAGAAGACAGAAGACAGACGAUAGGGAAGGGACAUUCAUCUGCUGCCUCACUCCACAGAGUUAACACACCAGGGCUUUUGGCUGCAUCUCCACGCAAGCGAAAAACAUUCAUUUAAUUUUUCUGCCCAGGGCGCAUGCUCAAAACCAACGGACAGUGCAGCUGUUUUAACCAGGAGUCCGUAGAGACACUGAACCAUUUUUAAAGAUGACCACUUCAUGGAGUGACCGACUGCAGAACUUUGCAGACUUGCCUGCCAACAUGGACAGACUGUCAAUGAAAAAAUACAGGAGAGAGCCCUACCACAGAGUGUUUGUUAACAGAAGUUUGGCCAUGGAGAAGAUUAAGUGCUUUGGCUUUGACAUGGAUUACACUUUAGCAGUGUACAAGUCACCGGAGUACGAGUCACUGGGCUUUGAGCUCACAGUGGAGCGCCUGGUUUCCAUCGGUUACCCCCAGGAGCUGCUCAGCUUUGUGUAUGACCCGUCCUUCCCCACCAGGGGCCUUGUGUUUGAUACCAUGUAUGGAAACCUCUUAAAGGUUGAUGCCUACGGUAAUAUCCUGGUCUGUGUCCACGGAUUCAACUUCCUGCGAGGCCCUGAGACUCGUGAACGGUACCCAAACAAGUUCAUCCAGAGAGAUGAUACGGAGCGCUUUUAUAUCCUCAACACGCUCUUUAACCUGCCAGAGACCUACCUCUUUGCCUGCCUCGUUGACUUUUUCUCCAACUGUGACAGAUAUGCAAGCUGUGAAACUGGCUUCAAAGAUGGCGAUCUCUUCAUGUCCUAUAAGAGCAUGUUCCAGGACGUCCGCGAUGCCGUUGACUGGGUCCACUUCAAGGGUACUCUGAAGGAAAAGACUGUCGAGAACCUGGAGAAAUAUGUAGUCAAAGAUGGGAAGCUGCCUCUUCUGCUCAGCAGAAUGAAUGAAGUAGCCAAGGUUUUCUUGGCGACUAACAGUGACUACAAAUACACUCAUAAAAUCAUGACCUACCUGUUUGACUUCCCCCAUGGCCCCAAGCCUGGUACCUCCCACCGGCCCUGGCAGUCCUACUUUGACCUGAUCCUGGUCGAUGCCAGGAAGCCGCUCUUCUUCGGGGAGGGUACGGUGCUCAGACAAGUCGACACGACAACAGGGCGUUUAAAGAUUGGAACCUACACUGGACCUCUGCAGCAUGGGAUAGUCUACUCUGGAGGUUCAUCAGACAUUGUGUGCGACCUGCUGGGAGCCAAGGGCAAGGACAUAGUUUACAUCGGGGACCAUAUCUUUGGAGACAUCCUCAAGUCCAAGAAGCGUCAAGGCUGGAGGACGUUCCUGGUCAUACCCGAGUUGGCCCAGGAGCUGCACGUGUGGACGGACAAGAGCUCAUUAUUUGAGGAGCUGCAGGGCCUGGACAUUUUCUUGGCUGAACUUUACAAACAUCUGGACAGCAGCAGUAACGAGAGACCAGACAUCAGCACUCUUCAGAGAAGAGUCAAGAAAGUGACACAUGACAUGGACAUGUGCUACGGCAUGAUGGGAAGCCUCUUCCGCAGCGGAUCCAGACAAACCCUGUUUGCCUCGCAGGUGAUGCGUUACGCCGACCUGUACGCCGCCUCCUUCAUCAACCUCCUCUACUACCCGUUCAGCUACCUCUUCCGAGCGGCUCACGUCCUGAUGCCCCACGAGUCGACGGUUGAGCACACCCACGUGGACAUCGACGCAGAGUCGCCGCUGGCCACGCGCAACCGCACCCACUGCAGCGACUGCAAGGACCUGGAUUGCAAGCGCAACCAGCUGACACGCUCCUUCAGCGAGAUCAAACCCCCCAACCUGUUCCCGCAGACUCCUCAAGAGAUCACCCACUGCCACGACGAGGAUGACGACGAGGAGGAGGAGGAGGAAGAGGAGGAGGAGGAGGAAGAAGAAGAAGAAGAGGAGGAGUAAUAUGGCGGGAAACGGAGAGGAGAGCCAUGUUCCUGCUUCUGCCUUCAUGUUUUCCCACUUGAGUCAGACUCAGACUGUAGCAUCCUGAGUGACAGUGAGCUGCAGAUCAGCUGGAUUAUAAACUGAAGCACAGGAGCGCUGAAGCACAGGAGCACUGAAGCACAAGCAGGCGCCAAACCAUUAAAUCAUCAUCAGAUGCAAAUUUUUUUUUUUAUGUUUAGAGAACAUGUGGCACACAAAGUGAUAUUCUGUCACCUAGCAACAAUGAGGGCAGAUGCAACUGUGUAAAAUAAAUGCCAACAGUCUCUAUGGCAACCCCAGACUACAGUCGUGUUUCUGUAAAGUAUUUUUACAGAACACAAGAGGCCUUUUAUUUUGAUGACAACAUGUGUGUGUGUAUAUAUAUAUAUAUACAUAUAUAUAUAUAUAUAUACACACACACAUAUACACACAUAUUUUUUAGCAGCUUCAUGACGAGUGUGACGUGAGAAUGUGAUGAAUGUGAGAGUGGCAUCUUUUUGUUUUGACAGGACGAAGCUUAUUGAACUCCCAACUUCAUGUAAAAACGUGAUGUUUAAAUCCUGCAUAUUCCUUUUAAAGCAUCACAAGUAUUCAUGAAUGAAUGAGGAUGUCCUAUCUAUCAAAAGGGUUGGUUAUUUUGACUCGGUUUUGUGUGUUUUGAUUUCAGUGACCGUAUGUGGUUUUAUGCACAUGAUCAAUUCUUGUAAGACAAGCAAAAAAAGAGGGAAAGAAUGUUUUAGAAAUGCCCUGAACAGGUUAUCAUAGUAGCUGUAUAACAAAAAAGUGUCAUGGAAACGAAAGCGGGAGGAAAAAAGGCAGCAGAGCAAAGAUUAGACUGUGUCAGAUUAACACUUAAACCAUUUUUCACAUCAUGUUUUUCCCACAUCCUUUCUAUUUGCGUCACCAGUUGCUCUCAGUCGUCAUCAGCGCACAAGAACUCCCUUAGUCUAAAUCAGAGCUAAGUGUAGGUGGAAACUUGAAUGUGAUUUAAGAUGUUCUAACUGGUUAUUAUUUUGUCCAACUUUGUCCUCAAAGAUGCUCUGAUGUGUUCAAACUCUGUCUCAUUGACUUAUUGGACUCUGGACACACAGUCAUGACACGUCCCUGUGUCCAGUUUUUCAAAACAUGCAGAGACGCAGCCUGAGUUUGACACACGCUGACUUUUUUCUCCCUCUUUUGUUGUUUCCCGUCAUAUUGAUCCGUGUUGAAGUCGAUUCGAGCCACAAAAAGGGAAGAAAAAUGCUGUUGUGGUUACUCCAUCCUUUGCUUUUUCCUUUCUUUUGUUUCUUAACUGUUUUAAUGCUGUAAUGUUAGUUCCUGAAUGUGGGAAUAACUGGAUGAUAUUAUGCUAAACGAGGCAGGUGCAUCAGCGGCAUAAUGCAUGUGAUAAACCAUGAAAUGUGUUCUGUCACGCUGAUUUAUAAAAGCAUUUUUUGUGGACUGCGUCAUUUUCAUAGCAAAAAAACUGUAAAAAAUAGAUUUUUUUUUAAAAAAAAGAAGAAAAAUUUAAAUGAAGGGAAAUGUGAAUAGCAUGUUAAGAACUGUAACUAUAAUGUUGCUUGUAAUCAACACCUUUAUGGUUAUUUUUAUUUUAAGUGGUUUACAGAUUUGUAAGUGGACCGUUCCAUUUCCUUUUCAUAUCAUUUCUGUUGUUUUUAGAAGACGUGUUUUCUAUUCUAUUUUCUUUUGAUGCAAAAACCACAGCCGCUCAGAUUUUGAUGACAGAUUUGUGAACACUU